AUUUUUGAAUCAUACAUGUCUAUAGUUUCUCAGUGUCUUGUCUAUUCAAGAAAUAUCCGAUUUUGACAGUUUGCCUGUAUCCCAGACAGAGUAGUACCAUUUUAAAUUGGUGUUCAAUAUUUCGUUUACAAACCCGAUAAAAGCCUUAGUAGAAUUCAUGACUUCCCUUAUUUGAGACACCACUCACACUCCCCUUUGAAGAAACGACACUCCUUUUUACGUCCUGUCCUCUACGUCGUGUUCCAUUUCCAACCCGACCGCAACUCACCCUGAGUUCACUUUUGUUACCGGCGACGGACGCUCCUCUCCGGCAGAGAACCGCGCCGCAGCCCUCCCACCAAGCGACCCUGUUUCUGGGGGGCGGGGUCGACGGACGGACGGACGGACGGACGGUCAUUCAUCCGAUGUAAAUACGACAACGUUCAUGUCGCCGAGCGCGUUUUAUUUCUGAAAACCUUUGGAUAAAACCAGGCGCACCGUCAAUCUACGAGAGAUAUUUGGCUGUUCCUAUAUGGAGGAAGCUGCUGCAGCAGAGACGGGUCAGGAGUUGUUGCCGUGGCACUAGAGGUCAGAGGUCGUUGCCGCGACCACAGUGACUCUAUUGACGACAGGAUGAGGAGCAGGCAGCUACAACACACAGGGGUCGCCCUGCUUCCGCUGUCUCUCACACACACACACACACACAGCAGAAAACACACACACACACACACACACACACACAGACAGCAGAAAACAACCACACACACACACACACACAGCAGAAAACACACACACACACACACACACACACAGACAGCAGAAAACAACCACACACACACACACCAGAACAGAAGCAUCUUUAUGAUCGCAGCCUUUGAUAUUUUAAUAGCAUGCUGUCUGCGCAGUCGAACCCCUCCACAUGACAGGACUGUACUGUGUCAAGGAACAGAGGAAUGGAAACCAGAGAGAGAUGGAGAGAUGGAGUUUGGGCUAGAAGAAUGUGGUGUGAUGAACCAGGAAGAGAUGGAGUCUGGGCCAGAAGAAUGUGGUGUGAUGAACCAGGAAGAGAUGGAGUCUGGGCCAGGAGAAUGUGGUGAUGAACCAGGAAGAGAUGGAGAGAUGGAGUCAGGGCCAGAAGAAUGUGGUGAUGAACCAGGAAGAGAUGGAGAGAUGGAGUCAGGGCCAGAAGAAUGUGGUGAUGAACCAGGAAGAGAUGGAGAGAUGGAGUCUGGGCCAGGAGAAUGUGGUGAUGAACCAGGAAGAGAUGGAGAGAUGGAGUCUGGG
ensembl:lncRNA